AGAGGUCCCGCCUGCCCGGUGACUAUAAGUUUAACGGCCGCGGUAUUUUGACCGUGCAAAGGUAGCGCAAUCACUUGUCCUUUAAAUGAGGGCCCGUAUGAAUGGCACCACGAGGGCUCAACUGUCUCCUUUUUCCCGUCAAUGAAAUUGAUCUCCCCGUGCAGAAGCGGGGAUUAUUACAUAAGACGAGAAGACCCUAUGGAGCUUUAGGCACCAGAACAGACUAUGUUAAAUAUCCCAAAACAAAGACAAAACCAAUUAGACCCUGUCCCAAUGCCUUUGGUUGGGGCGACCGCGGGGAAAUAAAAAACCCCCAUGUGGACUAGGAGUACCCUCACUCCCACAACCCAGGGCCACAGCCCUAAGCAACAGAAUUUCUGACCAGCUAAUGAUCCGGUGUUACCGAUCAACGAACCGAGUUACCCUAGGGAUAACAGCGCAAUCCCCUUCUAGAGCCCAUAUCGACAAGGGGGUUUACGACCUCGAUGUUGGAUCAGGACAUCCUACUGGUGCAGCCGCUAUUAAGGG
rnacentral:rRNA from 1 species